rnacentral:rRNA from 1 species
UACGUAGGGUGCGAGCGUUGUCCGGAAUUAUUGGGCGUAAAGGGCUCGUAGGCGGUCUGUUGCGUCGGGAGUGAAAACUCAGGGCUUAACCCUGAGCCUGCUUCCGAUACGGGCAGACUAGAGGUAUGCAGGGGAGAACGGAAUUCCUGGUGUAGCGGUGAAAUGCGCAGAUAUCAGGAGGAACACCGGUGGCGAAGGCGGUUCUCUGGGCAUUACCUGACGCUGAGGCGCGAAAGCAUGGGGAGCGAACAGG